UGACGUCAAGUCCUCAUGGCCUUUACUGACCAGGGCUACACACGUACUACAAUAGGCCGGUACAAAGGGCAGGCCACUUAGCGAUAAGGAGCCAAUCCCGUAAAAGCCGGUCUCAGUCCGGAUUGGAGUCUGCAACUCGACUCCAUGAAGUUGGAAUCGCUAGUAAUCGCAGAUCAGCACGCUGCGGUGAAUACGUUCCCGGGCCUU
rnacentral:rRNA from 1 species